CUUCCCAUUUUUUUGCUGGUAUAGUCUUACAAUGAUAUGAGUAGUUUUGCUCUUGGGAAAAAGUAAUAUUGGGCCAUUGUAAAUUGACAUGAAGUAACUAUUUUCAUAUUUUCUGCGUAGAAUAGAUGUUG
rnacentral:snoRNA from 1 species